CAUUUAAUGCAGCGAGCAGUUAGGCACAAGUAAGAACAAUGAGACAGGUUUACUUUGUCACUUUUCUUCUGACAUUGUACACAGGUGUGCAGAGUCAGGAAGUAGUAACACAGACACCACACGCACUUGCUGUAAAUGAGGGAAAUGAAGCGCAUUUCUCCUGUAAAGUCAGAGCUACUGAUGAUGCUAUCUUUUGGUACAAACAGAUGCCUAACCAUGGAUUAGAGCUCAUGAUUAAUACAUUUGCUGUAACCAAAACUAAUGGUCGGUUCAAGCUGACAAAACACAAUAACACUUUCUGGAUGUUUAGUCUCAGUAAGGUGAUAUUACAAGAUUCUGCCUUACACUUCUGUGCAUCGAGUAGCACAUAGGUACAGAUGCAGGAACUGCUGAAACAUAAAGUACAUCUUGUCACGAAUGUCUGUAGUACUGAUACACUCUGGCAAGGAACAUCAAAUUUCUC